rnacentral:rRNA from 1 species
AUUGAACGCUGGCGGAAUGCUUUACACAUGCAAGUCGAGCGGCAGCACGGGGGUAACCCUGGUGGCGAGCGGCGAACGGGUGAGUAAUGCAUCGGAACGUACCCCGUCGUGGGGGAUAACUGUCCGAAAGGACAGCUAAUACCGCAUACGACCUGAGGGUGAAAGCGGGGGACCGUAAGGCCUCGCGCGAUGGGAGCGGCCGAUGCUCGAUUAGCUAGUUGGUAGGGUAAAGGCCUACCAAGGCGACGAUCGAUAGCUGGUCUGAGAGGAUGAUCAGCCACACUGGGACUGAGACACGGCCCAGACUCCUACGGGAGGCAGCAGUGGGGAAUUUUGGACAAUGGGCGCAAGCCUGAUCCAGCCAUUCCGCGUGAGUGAAGAAGGCCUUCGGGUUGUAAAGCUCUUUCGGCAGGAACGAAACGGUGGGGGCUAAUACCCCCUGCUAAUGACGGUACCUGAAGAAGAAGCACCGGCUAACUACGUGCCAGCCGCCGCAGUAAUAC